rnacentral:rRNA from 1 species
AGACGUCUACAUUAGAUACCCGCGUAGUCCCAGCCGUAAACUAUGCGCGUUAGGUGUAUCGGUGACCACGAGUUACCGAGGUGCCGAAGGGAAACCGUGAAACGUGCCGCCUGGGAAGUACGGUCGCAAGGCUGAAACUUAAAGGAAUUGGCGGGGAGCACCACAACGGGUGGAGCCUGCGGUUUAAUUGGACUCAACGCCGGGAAGCUCACCGGAUAAGACAGCGGAAUGAUUGCCGGGCUGAAGACUCUGCAUGACCAGCUG